GAUGAACGCUGGCGGCGUGCCUAAUACAUGCAAGUCGAGCGAACGGACGCGAAGCUUGCUUCUCUCAUGUUAGCGGCAGACGGGUGAGUAACACGUGGAUACCCUCCCUAUCAUACUGGGAUCAUUUCGGGAAACCGGCGCUAAUCCCGUAUAAUCUUUUGAACCGCAUGGUUCAAAAGUGAAAGACGGUCUUGCUGUCACUUAUAGAUGCAUCCGCGCUGCUUUAGCUAGUUGUUAAGGUAACGGCUUAUGAAGGCAACGAUGCAUAACCGACCUGAGAGAGUGAUCGGCCACACUGGAACUGGGACACGGUCCAGACUCCUACGGGAGGCAGCAGUAGGGAAUCUUCCGCAAUGGGCGAAAGCCUGACGGAGCAACGCCGCGUGAGUGAUGAAGGUCUUCGGAGCGUAAAACUCUGUUAUUAGGGAAGAACAUAUGUGGAAGUAACUGUGCACAUCGUGACGGUACCGAAUCAGAAAGCCACGGCUAACUACGUG
rnacentral:rRNA from 1 species